rnacentral:piRNA from 1 species
UCCUCAAGUGUGUGUCCUCGUGGAUAUG